rnacentral:rRNA from 1 species
ACUCCUACGGGAGGCAGCAGUGGGGAAUAUUGCACAAUGGGCGCAAGCCUGAUGCAGCCAUGCCGCGUGUGUGAAGAAGGCCCUUCGGGUUGUAAAGCACUUUCAGUCGUGAGGAAGGUAGUGUAGUUAAUAGCUGCAUUAUUUGACGUUAGCGACAGAAGAAGCACCGGCUAACUCCGUGCCAGCAGCCGCGGUAAUACGGAGGGUGCGAGCGUUAAUCGGAAUUACUGGGCGUAAAGCGCAUGCAGGUGGUUUGUUAAGUCAGAUGUGAAAGCCCGGGGCUCAACCUCGGAAUUGCAUUUGAAACUGGCAGGCUAGAGUCUUGUAGAGGGGGGUAGAAUUUCAGGUGUAGCGGUGAAAUGCGUAGAGAUCUGAAGGAAUACCAGUGGCGAAGGCGGCCCCCUGGACAAAGACUGACGCUCAGAUGCGAAAGCGUGGGGAGCAAACAGGAUUAGAUACCCUGGUAGGAUAGCG